UUGAUCCAUGGCUCAGAUUGAACGCUGGCGGCAGGCCUAACACAUGCAAGUCGAGCGGUAGAGAGAAGCUUGCUUCUCUUGAGAGCGGCGGACGGGUGAGUAAUGCCUAGGAAUCUGCCUGGUAGUGGGGGAUAACGCUCGGAAACGGACGCUAAUACCGCAUACGUCCUACGGGAGAAAGCAGGGGACCUUCGGGCCUUGCGCUAUCAGAUGAGCCUAGGUCGGAUUAGCUAGUUGGUGAGGUAAUGGCUCACCAAGGCGACGAUCCGUAACUGGUCUGAGAGGAUGAUCAGUCACACUGGAACUGAGACACGGUCCAGACUCCUACGGGAGGCAGCAGUGGGGAAUAUUGGACAAUGGGCGAAAGCCUGAUCCAGCCAUGCCGCGUGUGUGAAGAAGGUCUUCGGAUUGUAAAGCACUUUAAGUUGGGAGGAAGGGCAUUAACCUAAUACGUUGGUGUCUUGACGUUACCGACAGAAUAAGCACCGGCUAACU
rnacentral:rRNA from 1 species